ensembl:lncRNA fibrous sheath interacting protein 1
UCGGUUACAACAUCCGGGGGGUGUUUGAGUCCAUAGUUACCAAACAUUCCUGCUAAAACCCAGCGACGUCAAUGAUUAUUACUGUUUUGUAAUUGUUUGUUUCUGUUGGAACGCAAUGGAAAUUAUUAGAGGCAGUUUAGACAACAUAGCCCGACCUGCGUCAGGUGAACGCACAUGCGCAGCAUCGACGCGUCCUGACAGGAUUAGUCCCACACAACAGUUUGCUCUUCUUGUUUUGACCAACGAUGCACCACAACAGGUAAAAAUAAAUAAAAAUAAAUGAAUAAAUGGAAGUUUAUAAAACUCUUCUUCUUCUUCUUCUUCUUCUUCUUCUUCUUCUUCUUCUUCUUCUUCUUCUUCUUCUUCUUCUUCUUCUUCUUCUUCUUCUUCUUCUUCUUCUUCUUCUUCUUCUUCUUCUUCUUCUUCUUCUUCUUCUAUAGAAUCAUAGCAGCUCUGAAGAACAAAUGGUCCUACCCCUUAAAUCCUCUGCAGACUCAAGCAAAGAUCAGAAUCCUAUUAAAUCUAAAGAGGAAAACAACGAAGAUGUUAAACUACAAAGAGCCAUUGAGGAAAUGAGGCGACUCGAUGAAGUAUUGUUCGCACAGACAUGCAAAGAAAAAGAAAUCCAAUGUCAAAGGAAAGAACUCAGAGCUAAACUCUGGCACGGACUCCUGCAUAAUAAAAAAGAGGGACGCUCCGAAAGCGCCCAUGAAGCUUUAAACACAAGGCUGUUUUUGGAGUUAGAACCACCGACUGGUAAAUAUAUGGAAAACAUCACAGACUAUAGCUAAAUGACAUUGGCAGAUCAUGUGGUCACUUGAGCUCAAAGAUGGUUUUGUUUGUCUUAAGGAGCAGAGGAUGAGGAUGAUAUCACACUCCUCUUUGAAACCAAGGACCCCAAGGUUCAGAUUGACAGAUGCAGCCCAAAUAUGAUGCAUGGUGGGAAGACGUCCAACAACUUGACAGAAUCAUUUAAAUCAAGCUCUGGAGACCAAUGCACAGGCCUCUGCAGAUCCUCUGAAAGGAUGGAUGAACAGAAAGACUACAUCACACCAGACAGUGAGCUAUUAGGGGAAGAAGAGGAUCACAUGAUUCUGACCAAGGCAGAGCAAGAGCGUCUGGCUGAGCUUCUUCAAGAAAUAGAAGAAGUGAAAGAGGACAGUAUCAGUGAUUUCGACAGUGAGCAGAAUCAAUGUGUGGGUUACUCUAAAAUUGCUCAUGAAGCUUUUAACCCAAGGCUGUUUACGGCAUUGGGAGCAUCCACAGCCGAGGAAGAUGAGGAUAUCACACUUCUGUUUGAAACCGAGUUACCCGAAGGUCAACAUGAUAAUUACAAUGUUUGCACAGAGAAUGGUAGGAGGAGGUCAGACAGCUUGACUGAAUCCUAUGAAUUCAGCUGUGAAGAAGUCGGAGGCCCGUUUAGGCUUUCAAAAAGCAAUGAUAAACAGAAGAACUUUGUCAGGAGAAACAUUGAGCUGGUCAGUGAACAGGGGGGCCAAGUGAGUUUGACAAAAGCAGAGCAGAAGCGUCUGACUGAGCUUCUACAAGAAAUUGAUGAAGAGGAAGAGGAAGGUGAUGCAUUCAAUGAGGACACCACCUGGGCCGUGUCAGUGCUUUCAGGCCACGGUUACAUCCCAGAACCGAGUGAUCUGGAGAAGCUGAUCGACAUUGACUCCAAAAUUCGUCUCUUCUUAUCUGACGAAGAGUUUGACUCGCUGCAACACUCCUUCACAAAUUUAAGCUUAUCUCGCGUGUGUAGACAGCAAAACUGCAGCUCACGUUACGCUAGCAGGAAGCAGAUACAGCCUAGCUGUGAUUCCACCACAAAUCUUUGAGGAAUGAGGAAUUGUCAUUAAGUUCUAUUUCUAAUGUGUUACAAGGUCAAGUCUGAUCUUGAUGUCAACG